UGCAGCCCUGCAGCAGUGAGAGGGAAGACCUCAGUUAGAAAACAAAUUGCUCACGUAGUUUCUUUUUACGGUUGAGAGCAAAAGUGAAAGUGAAUUUACAGCCACGAAAGUAGGGGAGGAGGUUAUAUCCACCCUAUGUCUUGGACUGAGGACUUAGCCCUACCACUCCGAGAGCUCACUCUGGUGAUACAGGUGGUACAGAAAAGGGAUUUCUGCAAUCGAGAUGAGCUCUACAAAAUUUGAGCCCACCAGGACCCAAGGAAAGCUGGACUACUGACUUAUGCGAAUUAACAAGAUGUGAACGAAUGCAUGAUAGUAGCAGAAACAUCCCGGUUUUUGAAAAUUACUUCCAUUAAAGAUUACCAGUGUUCUAGAUGCACAGAACACAUGAAACUCAAGACGGAUGGUCAAAAUGUGAAUGCUUCACUCCUUCUUUAAAAGGGGGAACAAGAAUACCCUUGGCAGGGAAUAGAGAGGCAAAGAUUAAAACAGAGACUGAAGGAACACCCAUUCAGAGCCUGCCCCACAUGUGGCCCAUACAUAUACAGCCACCCAAUUAGACAAGAUGGAUGAAGCAAAGAAGUGCAGGCCGACAGGAGCCGGAUGUAGAUCGCUCCUGAGAGACACAGCCAGAAUACAGCAAAUACAGAGGCGAAUGCCAGCAGCAAACCACUGAAGUGAGAAUAGGACCCCCGUUGAAGGAAUCAGAGAAAGAACUGGAGGAGCUUGAAGGGGCUCGAGACCCCUUAUGAACAAAAAUGCCAAGCAACCAGAGCUUCCAGGGACUAAGCCACUACCUAAAGACUAUACAUGGACUGACCCUGGACUCUGACCUCAUAGGUAGCAAUGAAUAGCCUAGUAAGAUCACCAGUGGAAGGGGAAGCCCUUGGUCCUGCUAAGACUGAACCCCCAGUGAACGUGAUUGUUGGGGGGAGGGCGGCGGCAAUGGGGGGAGGUUGGAGAGGGGAACACCCAUAAAGAAGGGGAGGGGGAGGGAUUAGGGGGAUGUUUGCCCAGAAACCGGGAAAGGGAAUAACAUUUGAAAUGUAAAUAAGAAAUACUCAAGUUAAUAAAAAAUAAAAUAAAAAUAAAAAUAAAAAAAGAUUACCAGUGUUAUAUCCAAGCACGCUGUAUUCUUAUUAGCGAGAGUGACAUCAAGAACUGGCACAGAUGACAUCACUACUGAGGAUAAGAUGACCUCCCAGAAUGUGGACCAAUGAAAGUGUUGGACUUUACCUGAAAUAUGCAAAUAUUAGUAGAUUUGUUUUGUAAUAAACUGACAAAUAUGUUCAAUAAGAAGGAAACGGUAAGAAUGUAUUUGAAAACAAGGCGAAGUCACACCUCCAAUUUGCAUUCUUACUCGUCCCUUCCAAACAUGUUACCAAAGGAAAUCCUCUCAGGACAUUGUGUAGCCUGUAGAGGGUACAAGGGACAAGGAGACAUUUUGAACUGCAUUGCAUGGUAUCCUGUGUGCCCCCUUCGCCCCUCAAGCUGAAUGUUCUGUCCUUGAUACUUCAAGUUAAAAUCAGGACGGAUACUGUUUCCAGCAUUUAAAGAUGUACUACUCUGAAAAUUAUUUUUCUUAAAAUUAUGCUUGUGUUGUGUAUCAAGGUCACGCUAACAGCUUUCAUUCAUGUUCUAAAGAAGAGCAAAGAGCACAAAAAUUAGCAAGAACCUUACUUAUUAAAUGUCAUUGUGUACACUCUGCCCCCUUCCUUCUGUGAUGUACUAGUCAACUAACCCCUGUCCAAAAUUAUGGAGCUGCUCUUAGAAAAAGGCAUGAAACUGUGUAUGUAUUUCUGUUACACAGUAACACGUAGAAACACACAAUGCAUUGUGGAAUAUCUGUCCGAUGUAUUGCCUUUGAAUCGGAUGUAUUGACAGAAUUGCACAGUGAGUAAAUAUCAGGUUUUUUGUUUG